rnacentral:rRNA from 1 species
CCUACGGGGGACAGCAGUGGGGGAUAUUGCACAAUGGGGGGAACCCUGAUCCAGCGACGCCGCGUGUGUGAAGAAGUAUCUCGGUAUGUAAAGCACUAUCAGCGGGGAAGAAGGCGUGACGGUACCUGAGUAAGAAGCCCCGGCUAACUACGUGCAAGCAGCCGCGGUAAUACGUAGGGAGCAGGCGUGAUCCGGAAUUACUGGGUGUAAAGGGAGCGUAGACGGUGAUGUAAGUCUGGAGUGAAAGGCGCGGGCCCAACCUGGGGACUGCCCUGGAAACUAUGUGACUGGAGUGCAGGAGAGGUGAGCAGAAUUCCUAGUGUAGCGGUGAAAUGCGUAGAGAUUAGGAGGAAUACCAGUGGCGAAGGCGGCUCACUGGACUGUAACUGACGUUGAGGCUCGAAAGCGUGGGGAGCAAACAGGAUUAGAUACCCUUGUAGUC